GAAGACCUAGUGGCGAACGGGUGAGUAGCACGUGAGCAACCUGCCCCGAAGACCGGGACAACACCGGGAAACCGGUGCUAAUACCGGAUAUCCCCACCAGAUCGCAUGUUUUGGUGAGGAAAUGGAUUCCGCUUCGGGAGGGGCUCGCGGCCUAUCAGCUUGUUGGUGGGGUAACGGCCUACCAAGGCAUCGACGGGUAGCUGGUCUGAGAGGACGAUCAGCCACACUGGGACUGAGACACGGCCCAGACUCCUACGGGAGGCAGCAGUGGGGAAUCUUGCACAAUGGGCGAAAGCCUGAUGCAGCAACGCCGCGUGAGGGACGAAGGCUUUCUGAGUUGUAAACCUCUUUCAGCAGGGACGAUAAUGACGGUACCUGCAGAAGAAGCCCCGGCCAACUACGUGCCAGCAGCCGCGGUAAUACGUAGGGGGCAAGCGUUGUCCGGAUUCAUUGGGCGUAAAGAGCUCGUAGGCGGCUUGGCAAGUCGGAUGUGAAACCUCCAGGCUUAACCUGGAGCCGCCAUUCGAUACUGCCAUGGCUAGAGUUUGGUAGGGGACCACGGAAUUCCUGGUGUAGCGGUGAAAUGCGCAGAUAUCAGGAGGAACACCAGCGGCGAAGGCGGUGGUCUGGGCCAAUACUGACGCUGAGGAGCGAAAGCGUGGGGAGCGAACAGGAUUAGAUACCCUGGUAGUCCACGCCGUAAACGUUGGGCACUAGGUGUGGGGACCUAUCGACGGUUUCUGUGCCGCAGCUAACGCAUUAAGU
rnacentral:rRNA from 1 species